rnacentral:lncRNA from 1 species
GGACUCACUAGUGAAAACCAUGCCAUGCCAUUGGGCGGCCUCAACAACGGAUAUGUCCAUCCUUUAGAAUUUAUAUUUACAUUUAUUUUCUUCUUUUGUUGGAGGGAGACAGAGUUUUAGAGGCUUUGGCCGUAUCACGACACUUCGUGGUAGAAGAGGAUAGGGGAAAUACAUCAUGCUAUUCUUCGUAUCCCGAUCGUAGUGGACAUGUGGUCUUGAGUUGAUUAUUGAUUGAGACCCAAAUGCUUAGAGCUUUUUGGGUACCAUUAUUCUUUUUCCUUUAUUUCUUUUUUUCUUAUUGCAAUGGCUGUGUAUACAGCCUUAUUAUAAACUUUAUUUGUAAUAUCUAAUUUGCAUAGUUGAUAUACCUAUGCUAUGUAUAUAUAUCUACUAUCCAAGUUAAUUUUUUAAUAGAUACAACUGUAUAUAUUUUGAAUCGAAGGAAAUAGCUACUCCCUCCAUCUCACAAGAAAGUUAAUUUUGGUCAAACUAACUCCAAAAAGAUUGAAACGACUUAUACUUUGCAAG